AGUGAACGCUGGCGGUAGGCCUAACACAUGCAAGUCGAACGGCAGCACAGUAAGAUCUUGCUCUUACGGGUGGCGAGUGGCGGACGGGUGAGGAAUACAUCGGAAUCUACUUUUUCGUGGGGGAUAACGUAGGGAAACUUACGCUAAUACCGCAUACGACCUACGGGUGAAAGCAUGGGAUCUUCGGACCUUGCGCGAUUGAACGAGCCGAUGUCGGAUUAGCUAGUUGGCGGGGUAAAGGCCCACCAAGGCGACGAUCCGUAGCUGGUCUGAGAGGAUGAUCAGCCACACUGGAACUGAGACACGGUCCAGACUCCUACGGGAGGCAGCAGUGGGGAAUAUUGGACAAUGGGCGCAAGCCUGAUCCAGCCAUACCGCGUGGGUGAAGAAGGCCUUCGGGUUGUAAAGCCCUUUUGUUGGGAAAGAAAAGCAGCAGGUUAAUACGCCGCUGUUCUGACGGUACCCAAAGAAUAAGCACCGGCUAACUUCGUG
rnacentral:rRNA from 1 species